rnacentral:rRNA from 1 species
GAUGAACGCUGACAGCAUGCUUAACACAUGCAAGUCAACUGGGCGGACGGGUGAGUAACGCGUAAAGAACUUGCCUCACGGAUAGGGACAACAUUUGGAAACGAAUGCUAAUACCUGUUACUGUGAGAGAGCUUUGCGUCCCAUUAGCUAGUUGGAGAGGUAACGGCUCACAAAGGCGAUGAUGGGUAGCCGGCCUGAGAGGGUGUGCGGCCACAAGGGGACUGAGACGCGGCCCAUACUCCUGCGGGGUGCAGCAGUGGGGAAUAUUGGACAAGGGGCCAGAGUCUGAUCCAACAAUGCGUGGUGGACGAUGAAGUUUUGGGAAAGUAAAGUGCUUUCAGUUGGGAAGCGGUACCAACAGAAGAAGUGACGGCUAAAUACGUGCCAGCAGCCGCGGUAAUUC